rnacentral:ncRNA from 1 species
UUCAGACAAGGCGAAUCUGACUAUUUAAUUAAAACAAAGAAAUGUGAUGCCCCCUGUGUAUGCUGACGUAAUGUGAUUUCUACCCAGUGCUUUGAAUUUCAAAGUGAAUAAAUUCAACCAAGCAUGGUUAAACAAUGGAAAUAACUAUGACUCUCUUAAGGUAUCCAAAUGUCUCUCCAUAUAAUUAGUGAUGCACUUGAAUGGAUUAACUAGAUUCCCACUAUCCCUAUCUACUAUCUAGUGAAACCACAACCAAGGGAAUGGGCUUGGCAUAAUCAAUAGGGAAAUAAGACCUUGUUGAGAUUGACUCUCAUCCGACUUUGUGAAAUUAAUUUAGAAUUCUAGAAUAAGUGGGAAUAGUUUUCGACACAAAUGAAAUACCACUACUUUUAACAUUAUUUUACUUAUAAUUUUGUGGGGUGGAGACGGGGCAGUUACCCUAUUUUUGGCCUUAAGUCAUGUUUUGAUGGGUCGAUCUAGGCGAAAAUUAUUUCCAGGUGGGGAUUUUGGAUGGGGAAAUACAUAUAUUAAAAUAUAACAUUAAAUAUAAUUGGUGUAGAUAGAACAUUUGUAUUUGGGAGAUCCCAGUGCACAACCACCCUUAUUGUCUUUCCCUUCUAAUUUGUAGU